rfam:Eubacterium brachy ATCC 33089 genomic scaffold Scaffold53, whole genome shotgun sequence.
UCCUUAUUGUGAGCGGUGGAGGGAAUAGGCCCUGCGAAACCCGGCAACCUGCAUGUGCGACGGUGCUAAAUCCUACAAGAUAGUUCUUGAAAGAUGAGGU